GGAGGCUCGGACCAACUAGUCCUGCUUACACUAAGUGGCUUGGUCUCUGGUUCAUCAGGACUGGUUUCUGCAUAUCUGCAAGGUUCCUUGCUCAUCACGGGCACCACCACCCAUGGCGAAACUCCAGGUCCCCACAGUGGACCAUGAAGAAAAAUACAGCUUGCCACCUGCCAGGCCAGAUUCCUCAGCAAGACACUUGAUGCCAGCAAGAGCAGGAAUGCUCAGGACGGGGAGCCCAGCUUUGGGCAUGGCACACAUGCAUGAAGCUGCUGUCAGAGUCUGGAUUUCCAGUUAGGAGCCAGAUGCUUUUGUCUGUGGAUGUGUGCCUUAAUGUGGUAUUGGAGCCAAUGUGAUGAAGGUUGUUUCUACUGCAAGAAGAAAAUUGUGGCAGAGUCACUUUUCCCAUGAAAUAGUUACAAGACUGUUUCCUUGGAUGCAGCAGAAGCUAAACAGCAGGAAGCAGAUCCUUUAAUUGUCUCCACCAAGCUUCUGCCACCCAGAGCUCAGCUGAAGAGGCUCUUAAUUUCAGACUUGCUCAGAGACACAUUCCCUGCUUUUCUCCUGGACCUCAAGACAGAAUAUUUCCUUGUUGCUUUAUCUCAUGUUUUCUCUCAUCUUUUCUGUUGUUCUUUAAUAUAUUUCUAACAUGCACUGAACAUUGGCCGUAGCAGCUUCUUCUCUCACACAUGGCUGGUAUGUCUCUCUGCUACAGAUAUUGACUUGCUCCUGUGUUUGGGGUGGGGAUUUCUACUGUUUGUGUGGUCUAGCUACAUGGAUACCCUUUUCUAUGGAACUGCCUUAAAUGAGGGACAAAUACAUACUAUUUAAAGUAUAAAA